CCAGAAGAAAGAAAAGAGAAGGAAGAAAGAAAGGAAAAGAAGGAGAAGGAGAAGGGGAAACCCUAGAGUGAGCAAUCAUUGACCAUUUUGAGUGAUUCCAAAGCCUAACCCACUCCAAAUCUUCCCCUCUUUCAUAAUCCUAGCUUGGUUUUGAGUGGGAGUCUUUGUGGAGUGGGAUAUUGUCCUCCAAAAAUUCGACCCCUAGGAGAAAUUGAGGUGUUGAUGGUUUUUUCUACCAUGGAAGCUUGAGGAACAACCAUUCCAUUGUUGUGUGAUCAUUGGUGGAUUGAGGCAAGAGGACCAAGUGGAGUGACCAACCCUUGGGGUUGUGUGCAAUUGAGGAAAGCUCAAGAGCAAGGUACUGAUAGAGGUGAGGUUGAUCGAGGCAAGAAGCAUGAGUAGACUGUACCUGAUAGCUGGACAUUUUGAGUUGCAUGCCAUUUAGCAUUGCUAUAUGUAUAUUUUGAUGCCACAUGAUGUAUUUUGGAGGACUUAGUGUAUGAUCAUUGUUGUAGUAAUAGGUAUCUGAUACAUGGUUACUUGCUUUGAUCAUGUUCCUUUUGUAGCUAAGUCCAUUGGCAUGUAUAUUAAAUUGUAGGAACUAAGAUGUAAAUGAGACUUUGAUGAAUUGUAAUUAAGACAUGAUGUAAUAUUGGAAUUAAUGGAGAUGUAUGUAUGAUGAAAUAAUAUACAU